rnacentral:snoRNA from 1 species
AUCCCAUGAUGAGGAUACUUACGAAGCAAUUCCUUGAAUCUUUCCCACACCUCAUAUAAAGACUUGUCAUCUAAUUGUUGGAAAGUAAUUAUCUCAUUAUGCAGUU